AUUGAACGCUGGCGGCAGGCCUAACACAUGCAAGUCGAACGGUAACAGGAAGCAGCUUGCUGCUUCGCUGACGAGUGGCGGACGGGUGAGUAAUGUCUGGGAAACUGCCUGAUGGAGGGGGAUAACUACUGGAAACGGUAGCUAAUACCGCAUAACGUCGCAAGACCAAAGAGGGGACCUUAGGGCCUCUUGCCAUCGGAUGUGCCCAGAUGGGAUUAGCUAGUAGGUGGGGUAACGGCUCACCUAGGCGACGAUCCCUAGCUGGUCUGAGAGGAUGACCAGCCACACUGGAACUGAGACACGGUCCAGACUCCUACGGGAGGCAGCAGUGGGGAAUAUUGCACAAUGGGCGCAAGCCUGAUGCAGCCAUGCCGCGUGUAUGAAGAAGGCCUUCGGGUUGUAAAGUACUUUCAGCGGGGAGGAAGGGAGUAAAGUUAAUACCUUUGCUCAUUGACGUUACCCGCAGAAGAAGCACCGGCUAACUCCGUG
rnacentral:rRNA from 1 species